UUGCCAUCAAGCACGUUGGUUGGCGGCGAACGGCUCAGUAACACGUAGUCAACCUGCCCUUGGGUCGAGAACAAUCUCGGGAAACUGAGGCUAAUUCUCGAUAAAUCAAGAUUCCUGGAAUGGGUUUUGGUCGAAACGGCGUAACAGCAUCUUGUUACUUUCGCCCAAGGAUGGGACUGCGGCCGAUCAGGCUGUUGGUGAGGUAAAGGCUCACCAAACCAGUAACCGGUACGGGCUUUGAGAGAAGGAGCCCGGAGAUGGACACUGAGACAAGGGUCCAGGUCCUACGGGGCGCAGCAGGCGCGAAACCUUCGCAAUGCGCGCAAGCGCGACGAGGCUAUUCUGAGUGAUUUCCGCUGAGGAAAUCUUUUCUUAGAUCUAAAAAGUCUGGGGAAUAAGGGGAGGGCAAGUCUGGUGUCAGCCGCCGCGGUAAUACCAGCCCCUCGAGUGGUCAGGGCGUUUAUUGGGCCUAAAGCAUCCGUAGCCGGCUCAUUAGGUCUCCUGUUAAAUCCAACGGCUCAACCGUUGGUCUGCAGGAGAUACCGAUGGGCUAGGAGGCGGGAGAGGCGGACGGUACUCCGAGGGUAGGGGUAAAAUCCUUUGAUCCCCGGAAGACCACCAGUGGCGAAGGCGGUCCGCCAGAACGCGCUCGACGGUGAGGGAUGAAAGCUGGGGGAGCGAACCGGAUUAGAUACCCGGGUAGUCCCAGCUGUAAACGAUGCGAGCUAGGUGACACAAGGCCUUCGGGGCCUUGUGGUGCCGCAGGGAAGCCGUUAAGCUCGCCGCCUGGGGAGUACGGACGCAAGUCUGAAACUUAAAGGAAUUGGCGGGGGAGCACCACAAGGGGUGAAGCCUGCGGUUCAAUUGGAGUCAACGCCGG
rnacentral:rRNA from 1 species